ACCUGGCUGGCUCAGCUGGUAGAGCAUGCAACUGUUGAUCUCAGGGCUGUGAGUUCAAACCCCACGCUGGGUG
rfam:Felis catus isolate Cinnamon breed Abyssinian chromosome A2, whole genome shotgun sequence.